rnacentral:rRNA from 1 species
GGUUAAGCGACUAAGCGUACACGGUGGAUGCCCUGGCAGUCAGAGGCGAUGAAGGACGUGCUAAUCUGCGAUAAGCGUCGGUAAGGUGAUAUGAACCGUUAUAACCGGCGAUUUCCGAAUGGGGAAACCCAGUGUGAUUCGUCACACUAUCAUUAACUGAAUCCAUAGGUUAAUGAGGCGAACCGGGGGAACUGAAACAUCUAAGUACCCCGAGGAAAAGAAAUCAACCGAGAUUCCCCCAGUAGCGGCGAGCGAACGGGGAGGAGCCCAGAGCCUGAAUCAGUGUGUGUGUUAGUGGAAGCGUCUGGAAAGGCGCGCGAUACAGGGUGACAGCCCCGUACACAAAAAUGCACAUGCUGUGAGCUCGAUGAGUAGGGCGGGACACGUGGUAUCCUGUCUGAAUAUGGGGGGACCAUCCUCCAAGGCUAAAUACUCCUGACUGACCGAUAGUGAACCAGUACCGUGAGGGAAAGGCGAAAAGAACCCCGGCGAGGGGAGUGAAAAAGAACCUGAAACCGUGUACGUACAAGCAGUGGGAGCACAGAGCAAUCUGUGUGACUGCGUACCUUUUGUAUAAUGGGUCAGCGACUUAUAUUCUGUAGCAAGGUUAACCGAAUAGGGGAGCCGAAGGGAAACCGAGUCUUAACUGGGCGUUAAGUUGCAGGGUAUAGACCCGAAACCCGGUGAUCUAGCCAUGGGCAGGUUGAAGGUUGGGUAACACUAACUGGAGGACCGAACCGACUAAUGUUGAAAAAUUAGCGGAUGACUUGUGGCUGGGGGUGAAAGGCCAAUCAAACCGGGAGAUAGCUGGUUCUCCCCGAAAGCUAUUUAGGUAGCGCCUCGUGAAUUCAUCUCCGGGGGUAGAGCACUGUUUCGGCAAGGGGGUCAUCCCGACUUACCAACCCGAUGCAAACUGCGAAUACCGGAGAAUGUUAUCACGGGAGACACACGGCGGGUGCUAACGUCCGUCGUGAAGAGGGAAACAACCCAGACCGCCAGCUAAGGUCCCAAAGUCAUGGUUAAGUGGGAAACGAUGUGGGAAGGCCCAGACAGCCAGGAUGUUGGCUUAGAAGCAGCCAUCAUUUAAAGAAAGCGUAAUAGCUCACUGGUCGAGUCGGCCUGCGCGGAAGAUGUAACGGGGCUAAACCAUGCACCGAAGCUGCGGCAGCGACGCUGAUGCGUUGUUGGGUAGGGGAGCGUUCUGUAAGCCUGUGAAGGUGUACUGUGAGGUAUGCUGGAGGUAUCAGAAGUGCGAAUGCUGACAUAAGUAACGAUAAAGCGGGUGAAAAGCCCGCUCGCCGGAAGACCAAGGGUUCCUGUCCAACGUUAAUCGGGGCAGGGUGAGUCGACCCCUAAGGCGAGGCCGAAAGGCGUAGUCGAUGGGAAACAGGUUAAUAUUCCUGUACUUGGUGUUACUGCGAAGGGGGGACGGAGAAGGCUAUGUUGGCCGGGCGACGGUUGUCCCGGUUUAAGCGUGUAGGCUGGUUUUCCAGGCAAAUCCGGAAAACUAAGGCUGAGGCGUGAUGACGAGGCACUACGGUGCUGAAGCAACAAAUGCCCUGCUUCCAGGAAAAGCCUCUAAGCAUCAGGUAACAUCAAAUCGUACCCCAAACCGACACAGGUGGUCAGGUAGAGAAUACCAAGGCGCUUGAGAGAACUCGGGUGAAGGAACUAGGCAAAAUGGUGCCGUAACUUCGGGAGAAGGCACGCUGAUAUGUAGGUGAAGUCCCUCGCGGAUGGAGCUGAAAUCAGUCGAAGAUACCAGCUGGCUGCAACUGUUUAUUAAAAACACAGCACUGUGCAAACACGAAAGUGGACGUAUACGGUGUGACGCCUGCCCGGUGCCGGAAGGUUAAUUGAUGGGGUUAGCGCAAGCGAAGCUCUUGAUCGAAGCCCCGGUAAACGGCGGCCGUAACUAUAACGGUCCUAAGGUAGCGAAAUUCCUUGUCGGGUAAGUUCCGACCUGCACGAAUGGCGUAAUGAUGGCCAGGCUGUCUCCACCCGAGACUCAGUGAAAUUGAACUCGCUGUGAAGAUGCAGUGUACCCGCGGCAAGACGGAAAGACCCCGUGAACCUUUACUAUAGCUUGACACUGAACAUUGAGCCUUGAUGUGUAGGAUAGGUGGGAGGCUUUGAAGUGUGGACGCCAGUCUGCAUGGAGCCGACCUUGAAAUACCACCCUUUAAUGUUUGAUGUUCUAACGUUGACCCGUAAUCCGGGUUGCGGACAGUGUCUGGUGGGUAGUUUGACUGGGGCGGUCUCCUCCUAAAGAGUAACGGAGGAGCACGAAGGUUGGCUAAUCCUGGUCGGACAUCAGGAGGUUAGUGCAAUGGCAUAAGCCAGCUUGACUGCGAGCGUGACGGCGCGAGCAGGUGCGAAAGCAGGUCAUAGUGAUCCGGUGGUUCUGAAUGGAAGGGCCAUCGCUCAACGGAUAAAAGGUACUCCGGGGAUAACAGGCUGAUACCGCCCAAGAGUUCAUAUCGACGGCGGUGUUUGGCACCUCGAUGUCGGCUCAUCACAUCCUGGGGCUGAAGUAGGUCCCAAGGGUAUGGCUGUUCGCCAUUUAAAGUGGUACGCGAGCUGGGUUUAGAACGUCGUGAGACAGUUCGGUCCCUAUCUGCCGUGGGCGCUGGAGAAUUGAGGGGGGCUGCUCCUAGUACGAGAGGACCGGAGUGGACGCAUCACUGGUGUUCGGGUUGUCAUGCCAAUGGCACUGCCCGGUAGCUAAAUGCGGAAGAGAUAAGUGCUGAAAGCAUCUAAGCACGAAACUUGCCCCGAGAUGAGUUCUCCCUGACUCCUUGAGAGUCCUGAAGGAACGUUGAAGACGACGACGUUGAUAGGCCGGGUGUGUAAGCGCAGCGAUGCGUUGAGCUAACCGGUACUAAUGAACCGUGAGGCUUAACCUU